rnacentral:rRNA from 1 species
CAGGAUGAACGCUAGCGACAGGCUAACACAUGCAAGUCGAGGGGCAGCAUAAAAGUAGCAAUACUUGGUGGCGACCGGCGCACGGGUGAGUAACGCGUAUGCAACCUACCUAUCAGACGGGGAAUAACCCGGCGAAAGUCGGACUAAUACCGCAUAAAACAGGGGCACCGCAUGGUGAUAUUUGUUAAAGAAAUUCGCUGAUAGAUGGGCAUGCGUUCCAUUAGGUAGUUGGUGAGGUAACGGCUCACCAAGCCGACGAUGGAUAGGGGAACUGAGAGGUUGGUCCCCCACACUGGUACUGAGACACGGACCAGACUCCUACGGGAGGCAGCAGUGAGGAAUAUUGGUCAAUGGGCGAGAGCCUGAACCAGCCAAGUCGCGUGAAGGAAGAAGGAUCUAUGGUUCGUAAACUUCUUUUGCAGGGGAAUAAAGUGCAGGACGUGUCCUGUUUUGUAUGUACCCUGAGAAUAAGGAUCGGCUAACUCCGUGCCAGCCGCUGC